rnacentral:rRNA from 1 species
UACAGAGGUCCCGAGCGUUGUUCGGAUUCAUUGGGCGUAAAGGGUGCGUAGGCGGCGAGGCCAGUCUGAUGUGAAAUCCCGGGGCUCAACCCCGGAACGGCAUUGGAUACUGCUUUGCUAGAGUACUGGAGAGGAGACUGGAAUUUACGGUGUAGCAGUGAAAUGCGUAGAGAUCGUAAGGAAGGCCAGUGGCGAAGGCGAGUCUCUGGACAGUUACUGACGCUGAGGCACGAAGGCCAGGGGAGCAAACGGG